rnacentral:tRNA from 4 species
GCCCAGGUAGCUCAGUCGGUAGAGCAGGGGAUUGAAAAUCCCCGUGUCGGUGGUUCGAUUCCGCCCCUGGGCACCA